GGGGCUUGAGUAUGUUUGAGGCAGGCGGAAUGCGUGGUGUAGCGGUGAAAUGCAUAGAUAUCACGCAGAACCCCGAUUGCGAAGGCAGCCUGCCAAGCCAUGACUGACGCUGAUGCACGAAAGCGUGGGGAUCAAACAGGAUUAGAUACCCUGGUAGUCCACGCAGUAAACGAUGAUCACUAGCUGUUUGCGAUACACUGUAAGCGGCACAGCGAAAGCGUUAAGUGAUCCACCUGGGGAGUACGCCGGCAACGGUGAAACUCAAAGGAAUUGACGGGGGCCCGCACAAGCGGAGGAACAUGUGGUUUAAUUCGAUGAUACGCGAGGAACCUUACCCGGGUUUGAACGCAUUCGGACCGAGGUGGAAACACCUUUUCUAGCAAUAGCCGUUUGCGAGGUGCUGCAUGGUUGUCGUCAGCUCGUGCCGUGAGGUGUCGGCUUAAGUGCCAUAACGAGCGCAACCCUUGCCACUAGUUACUAACAGGUAAAGCUGAGGACUCUGGUGGGACUGCCAGCGUAAGCUGCGAGGAAGGCGGGGAUGACGUCAAAUCAGCACGGCCCUUACAUCCGGGGCGACACACGUGUUACAAUGGCGUGGACAAAGGGAAGCCACCUGGCGACAGGGAGCGAAUCCCCAAACCACGUCUCAGUUCGGAUCGGAGUCUGCAACCCGACUCCGUGAAGCUGGAUUCGCUAGUAAUCGCGCAUCAGCCAUGGCGCGGUGAAUACGUUCCCGGGCCUUGUACACACCGCCCGUCAAGCCAUGGGAGCCGGGGGUACCUGAAGUCCGUAAACGCGAGGAUCGGCCUAGGGUAAAACUGGUGACUGGGC
rnacentral:rRNA from 1 species